GACGGACAGACAGCACUAAGCACAGCGAAAUGAAUAGCAAGAAGACUUGGACAGUCAGAGCCGAAGGACCGCAGAGCUCAGCGCCGGAGGGCCUUAGCUGAACAACCUAGGAGAGUAGAGGACAAAAUUCCUCCCUUACAGCCCUCUUCAGAUGUGGCCAAGGAAGAUCUCCCAGAGGGUGCAAUGAUAGUCCUGGAGAACACCAACUGGUGAGCCCUUCCUGGAGAAGAAUUUGGGGCCUAAUUAACUAAGAAUUUCCUCAUCCCCAGGCUCGGCAUUUGUCCUUGAGGGUGCAUCAGAAGAAUAAGGACAAGUGGUUUGAGGAGAAAGAGGAAG